rnacentral:misc_RNA from 1 species
CAACCCUCAAGCCCUGCUUGGUGAUGGGUCCCGCCCGCGCGGCGGGCCCGAAACUCGUGGGCGUCGUCGUUCGGCUCCAAGCGUAGCAAAACCCUCGCUUGGGCUGUCGGACCGGUGACUGCCUGGAACGAAUUUUUCUAA